rnacentral:rRNA from 1 species
UACGGAGGGUGCAAGCGUUAAUCGGAAUUACUGGGCGUAAAGCGCACGCAGGUGGCUGAGAAAGUCGAUUGUGAAAGCCCUGGGCUUAACCUGGGAAUUGCAGUCGAAACUACUCGGCUAGAGUAUGGGAGAGGGUAGUGGAAUUCCGGGUGUAGCGGUGGAAUGCGUAGAGAUCCGGAAGAACACCGGUGGCGAAGGCGGCCUGCUGGGCAGUAGCUGACACUGAGGCGCGACAGCGUGGGGAGCAAACAGG